rnacentral:rRNA from 1 species
AUUGAACGCUGGCGGCAGGCCUAACACAUGCAAGUCGAGCGGAUGAAGGGAGCUUGCUCCUGGAUUCAGCGGCGGACGGGUGAGUAAUGCCUAGGAAUCUGCCUGGUAGUGGGGGAUAACGUCCGGAAACGGGCGCUAAUACCGCAUACGUCCUGAAGGGGAAAGUGGGGGAUCUUCGGACCUCACGCUAUCAGAUGAGCCUAGGUCGGAUUAGCUAGUUGGUGGGGUAAAGGCCUACCAAGGCGACGAUCCGUAACUGGUCUGAGAGGAUGAUCAGUCACACUGGAACUGAGACACGGUCCAGACUCCUACGGGAGGCAGCAGUGGGGAAUAUUGGACAAUGGGCGAAAGCCUGAUCCAGCCAUGCCGCGUGUGUGAAGAAGGUCUUCGGAUUGUAAAGCACUUUAAGUUGGGAGGAAGGGCAGUAAGUUAAUACCUUGCUGUUUUGACGUUACCAACAGAAUAAGCACCGGCUAACUUCGUG